GCGGGGCCGCGCACGGCCCUCCGGAGCCGGAGCGGAUGGCUGCCGCCGGGGCGCUGGGCGCCGGGGACCUCCCGCAGCUGGAGAAUUUCGAAGCGCUGAGUGAAAAGAUCACGCUGAGAAAUAUCCUCUUUGGAAGUCAGGUUCCUGGCUUCCCGCUCCUUCGGCUUUCCACGCUGGAGCGGGCUCGAUGUAGCUUUGAUGGCCAGGCGGCUGUGCAGCGGGGCUUUGCCUCUGAAUAUCGGGAUGUGCUUUUUCCUAAACAUCAAAUUAAGCUCCAGUGAUUGACCUUGUUAAACACCUGUGAUGUAAAUUCACUUGAAUGGCCCCCCAAGCCCGUUUAGUUUUCACCUUGCUAAGAAGAAAAUCCUAACAAAGGUCUGACUAAGAGUAGUAUCAACUCCCAAGGAGUUAGUCUCUGUGCAGCAAUUCGUGUUUUCAAGUAAAAUAGGCAGCAAAUCGUGUUGAGAUUCUGAAGGUAUAUUCAAAAGCAAUCAUCUACAAAAAUGCCUCUUUAAGUCAGCAGCAUAUCCCUGCACGUUGUUGGUUUAAAAACAACUGUUAGCUGCUAAGAGCGGGGAGGUGAGCACUCAAAAAGACAAAUUAAGACCUGAAGAGGCUCCGAGCUUCCUCAGUGUACUCUCAGAAACUACCUCUCGUUUAUGAAACUGAAUUGAUUACAUUUUCAAUUUUUUCUGUAACUUGACCUUUCAGGAAGCAGCUGCUUUAAUGAUUUAGCAGCACUCAUGUUCUGAUUGCCUAUGCUGACCGUAUGGGAUCACCUAAAACAGCUCCUUGGAAAGAACCUCUCAUAGAGAACGUACUCCAGUUCACUCAUGAGCACGCAGGACAUCUGUAGGUGUUUAGAACUUGAAUACUUAGCUGUUGCAAAAGAAAAUGGGAUUGUCUUGUAAUGACACAACCUUGUGCGUGCUUCAUCUUGCAUUAGUAUUGAAUAUGAGUAAAAGGCUUGAGACAUCUGCAAGAAAGCUGCUUGUUAUUUCUCACAGAAGAAAAAAAGAAUUCUUAUUCAUAAAUAGUUUAUCUUUAACUUUUUACUGGAAGAAAUGGGCGAGCGCAUUGAGGAUCUUGAGAAGCAUGUUGCUGACCUGAUGACAGAGGCUGGGAUAGAAAACACCAAUGAAGAGUUGAAACACUGAAAUGAGGAUGUGAUCAAAAUAAAGGAAGAACAGAACCACACUGCAUCUGGCAGUUUACAAUUAGUGUCACAAGUCACAAAAAGCAUCAGUGAAAACAAAUGUGCUUGCAUCCUA